AGACUACACAAGCUCACUACCAUAAACCAUAUGACCAGGAGGGACUCUACAAGACAUACCUCAACUCAAAGACAGUUACUCUUCUCAUCACAAAACUGGCCCAUUUUACCAAGGAUCCAGCAUUGCCUUGUGACGCAGAAUGGCAGGUCCAGUCCCUACGUUUUCUAGGUUUUUGACAACUCCAAUGCCAAGUGGAGAUGUUACAGGAAGAUCUAGUUUAAAAGAAAACGUCAACACCGCUGUAGUAUUAUGGCAAGAAAAGGAAUGCAUCAUCAUCAUCAUCCUCAUCUUUAUCGCUUGGAAUGCUUUCAUCCGAGUCAUAAAUUACCCCACUGUCCG